UACGUAGGGCGCAAGCGUUGUCCGGAAUUAUUGGGCGUAAAGAGCUCGUAGGCGGCUUGUCGCGUCGGUUGUGAAAGCCCGGGGCUUAACCCCGGGUCUGCAGUCGAUACGGGCAGGCUAGAGUUCGGUAGGGGGGAUCGGAAUUCCUGGUGUAGCGGUGAAAUGCGCAGAUAUCAGGAGGAACACCGGUGGCGAAGGCGGAUCUCUGGGCCGAUACUGACGCUGAGGAGCGAAAGCGUGGGGAGCGAACAGG
rnacentral:rRNA from 1 species